UCAAGUUACAAAUAUGAGAAAAUUCAGAAUUUCAGGUAAAAGUGCACUCACUCACACAGAGCAAUCAAAAACAUAACAAAAGGAUUGGAUUAGUUGAGAAGUUCCCAUAUUAGGGUUUGUGUCCUGUUUUCUUCUUCUGCACAAAACCACAUGCCCUGGGGGAGAAACCCCGGCAAUGGAUGAGGGCGAGGGAGGGUACGGUGAGAGCGGCGAUCCCAUGGAUCAGUUUCACCGUAACGAAGCUAUAUCCGCCGUCGCCGACGAUGGUUUCAUGGCAGAGGAAGAUGAUGAUUAUGAAGAUCUUUACAACGAUGUCAACAUUGGAGAGGGUGUCCUUCAAUCUUUGCGCAAAAACGAGGAUUCGGGGUUCCGAAACGAUGAUGUUGAGGUCAAGAAGCCCCCGCCGCCCCCUCAAGUUCCUGAUGCUCCCGGGGUUUCGAUUUCGGGUGCCGGUGACGGUGACGGGGGAGAAGGUGUCGGAGGUGGCGGAAGUGGGAUUGUCGAGUCUAGGGUUUCGGGGAGAGUUGAUGGAUUUCAGAAUCAAGGGUUUAGAGGGAACGAGGUGGGUGCCAAAGGUGGGAUCAGGGUUGAAUUGGGGCACCAAACUGUAAAAUCUGAUAUUGAGGAACAGGGUGGUAAUGACGGGGCUGCACUUCCGGGGAUUGAGCAGCAGUCACAUGGCGGGGUUGUUGGGAGUGUGGGAAAUGAGGGUUUAGUGAGACAAGGUCAAGGUGGGGGAGGAGGGGGAAGUGCUAAUAGGGUUGGUGGAAAUGGUGUUGGGAACAGUGUGACCGCUGUUAAUAGUGUUAGUACCGGAGGAGUUGGAGGUGUUGGCGGUGGUAGUGGUGCUUCCGGUGGUACUAUAUUGUUUGUUGGUGAUUUGCAUUGGUGGACUACUGAUGCUGAGCUGGAAACUGAGCUUAGUAAGUAUGGGCCUGUCAAGGAGGUGAAGUUUUUCGAUGAGAAGGCUAGCGGGAAGUCAAAGGGCUAUUGCCAAGUUGAGUUUUUUGACCCUUCUGCUUCCACAAAUUGCAAGGAGGGAAUGAAUGGUCAUGUUUUUAAUGGGAGACCAUGUGUUGUUGCUUUUGCAUCACCUUUUACAGUUAAGAAAAUGGGGGAGGCUCAGAUAAACAGGAAUCAGCAGAUGAACCCAUCUACAGUUACACAACAGGGAAGGAGGGGGCCUUCUGAUUCAGGGGCUAAGCCUGGUGGGGGUAAUAUUUCUACAGGUGGUAAUUACCAAGGGGGAGACGGGAAUAGAGGUUAUGGGAGAGGAGGUAACUGGGGAAGAGGGAACAAUCCUGGUAUGGGGAAUAGGGGACCCGUGAAUCAAAUGAGGAAUAGGGGUGGUGGGAUGGGUGGUAGAGGUAUAAUGGGUCAUGGUGGAAAUGGUUUUGGACAGGGUAUUGGUGGUACCCCUCCACUGUUGCAUCCUCAGUCAAUGAUGGGUCAGGGUUUUGAUCCUGCUUUUGGUGGUCCCAUGGGUAGAAUGGGUAGCUAUGGAGGCUUUCCUGGUGCUCCAACGCCUCCAUUUUCUGGGAUCUUACCAUCAUUCCCUGGUGUUGGAGGUGUUGGUUUGCCUGGAGUGGCACCUCAUGUUAAUCCUGCAUUCUUUGGAAGGGGGAUGCCAGUUAACGGUAUGGGGAUGAUGCCUACAUCAGGCAUGGAUGGUCCUAAUAUGGGGAUGUGGUCAGAUCCAAAUAUGGGUGGAUGGGGUGGGGAAGAGCCUGGUGGUGGGAAGGCUGGAGAGUCAAGUUAUGGGGAGGAAGCUGCAUCUGACCAUCAGUAUGGUGAAGUGAGUCAUGAUAGAGCUGGGUGGCCUAUGAGGGAGAAAGAUAGAGGUUCAGAAAGAGACUGGUCUGGUUCUUCUGAGAGAAGGUAUAGGGAUGAUAGAGAUCAAGGAUAUGAGAGAGAUGCACCUAGAGAGAAAGAUAUGGGCCAUGAUCCUGAGUGGUCUGAAAGAAGGCAUCGUGAUGAUAGAGAAACUGGCCGAGAACGGUCACGUGACCGUGAUCGUGAACGAUCGCGUGACCGUGAAAGGGAUCAUCGUGAACGUGACAGACACCGGGAAGAUAGGGACCGGUAUGCAGACCAUCAUAGGUACAGAGACCGGGAGGCAGAGCAUGAUGAUGAGUGGGAUAGGGGACGAUCAUCAAGGACUCACAGCAAGUCGCGGUUAUCACAAGAGGAAGAGCACCAUUCAAGGCCAAGAGAUGCUGAUUAUGGGAAGAGGCGAAGGCUUACUUCUGAAUAACUUUAUAUACCGUGCUUGUUGUUUCCUCGAAGGCAUUCCACUGAAGAAGAAAACAAAGUAAUCGAGUAGUCUGGAUUUUGUCAUUUGCUUGAAUUCUCUGGGGCCUGGAAGUUGUUGAAUAGCUGUUUUAUUUCAAUCACUUGUUAUAAUUGCUCCUUGGUUGGAGCAGGGUUCUUCCUUUUUGUGAGAAAGGACAACUGUUUUGAGAAAGAAAUCUGUUCAUUCAAAGUCUGGGCUGUAUCAGGCGGCUUCAAUGUUGAAGAUUCGAGUCAUGACCUUUUCUUACAUUCAGAAGGGGAACUUUUGCUAUGAAGUAUUAGCUUUUGAUUUGAAUUUGUUUCAGUUAUUAGCACAUGAUUACUUAAACCAUCGAUGUUGAUGUAAUGGGUUUAUCUUCCUGAAGUCUGAAAUGUGGCAGAUUAUUUAGAACUUAUUGUUUGAAAUGUGUACUUUAGGAUUUAGCAGAGGAUGUUGAUAAUGUGCCCUUUCUUAUUGGCUGGCUGUUGUAUCAUUCUUUUUUUCAUCUUUUGGCUGGCUGUUGUAUUUUUUUUUCUACUUCUUUUUUGUUGUUUUCUUCCUCACUUUUUAGCAUAGCUGUGUAGAAUACAAAUAUUGUGUAUGAUGUAGAGAGCUAACCAUUUGAUCGCUGUAAUCAUUCAAAGCAGGAGAAUUGUACAUGCUUUGGUGUACAUAUUGAUAUUAACUUCAAUGAUAAAGGUGAAUACACCUCCAGUCUUGUUUUA